rnacentral:rRNA from 1 species
UACGUAGGGUGCGAGCGUUGUCCGGAAUUAUUGGGCGUAAAGGGCUCGUAGGCGGUUUGUCGCGUCGGGAGUGAAAUCCACUGGCUUAACUGGUGGCUUGCUUUCGAUACGGGCAGACUAGAGUUCGGCAGGGGAGACUGGAAUUCCCGGUGUAGCGGUGAAAUGCGCAGAUAUCGGGAGGAACACCAAUGGCGAAGGCAGCUCGCUGGGACGCGACUGACGCUGAGACGCGAAAGCGUGGGGAGCAAACAGG